rnacentral:rRNA from 1 species
AAAUUGAAGAGUUUGAUCAUGGCUCAGAUUGAACGCUGGCGGCAGGCCUAACACAUGCAAGUCGAGCGGUAGCACAGAGAGCUUGCUCUCGGGUGACGAGCGGCGGACGGGUGAGUAAUGUCUGGGAAACUGCCUGAUGGAGGGGGAUAACUACUGGAAACGGUAGCUAAUACCGCAUAACGUCGCAAGACCAAAGUGGGGGACCUUCGGGCCUCAUGCCAUCAGAUGUGCCCAGAUGGGAUUAGCUAGUAGGUGGGGUAACGGCUCACCUAGGCGACGAUCCCUAGCUGGUCUGAGAGGAUGACCAGCCACACUGGAACUGAGACACGGUCCAGACUCCUACGGGAGGCAGCAGUGGGGAAUAUUGCACAAUGGGCGCAAGCCUGAUGCAGCCAUGCCGCGUGUGUGAAGAAGGCCUUCGGGUUGUAAAGCACUUUCAGCGGGGAGGAAGGCGAUAAGGUUAAUAACCUUGUCGAUUGACGUUACCCGCAGAAGAAGCACCGGCUAACUCCGUGCCAGCAGCCGCGGUAAUACGGAGGGUGCAAGCGUUAAUCGGAAUUACUGGGCGUAAAGCGCACGCAGGCGGUCUGUCAAGUCGGAUGUGAAAUCCCCGGGCUCAACCUGGGAACUGCAUUCGAAACUGGCAGGCUAGAGUCUUGUAGAGGGGGGUAGAAUUCCAGGUGUAGCGGUGAAAUGCGUAGAGAUCUGGAGGAAUACCGGUGGCGAAGGCGGCCCCCUGGACAAAGACUGACGCUCAGGUGCGAAAGCGUGGGGAGCAAACAGGAUUAGAUACCCUGGUAGUCCACGCCGUAAACGAUGUCGAUUUGGAGGUUGUGCCCUUGAGGCGUGGCUUCCGGAGCUAACGCGUUAAAUCGACCGCCUGGGGAGUACGGCCGCAAGGUUAAAACUCAAAUGAAUUGACGGGGGCCCGCACAAGCGGUGGAGCAUGUGGUUUAAUUCGAUGCAACGCGAAGAACCUUACCUGGUCUUGACAUCCACAGAACUUAGCAGAGAUGCUUUGGUGCCUUCGGGAACUGUGAGACAGGUGCUGCAUGGCUGUCGUCAGCUCGUGUUGUGAAAUGUUGGGUUAAGUCCCGCAACGAGCGCAACCCUUAUCCUUUGUUGCCAGCGGUUAGGCCGGGAACUCAAAGGAGACUGCCAGUGAUAAACUGGAGGAAGGUGGGGAUGACGUCAAGUCAUCAUGGCCCUUACGACCAGGGCUACACACGUGCUACAAUGGCAUAUACAAAGAGAAGCGACCUCGCGAGAGCAAGCGGACCUCAUAAAGUAUGUCGUAGUCCGGAUUGGAGUCUGCAACUCGACUCCAUGAAGUCGGAAUCGCUAGUAAUCGUAGAUCAGAAUGCUACGGUGAAUACGUUCCCGGGCCUUGUACACACCGCCCGUCACACCAUGGGAGUGGGUUGCAAAAGAAGUAGGUAGCUUAACCUUCGGGAGGGCGCUUACCACUUUGUGAUUCAUGACUGGGGUGAAGUCGUAACAAGGUAACCGUAGGGGAACCUGCGGUUG